CAAGAUCUUCUUUCAAAAAAAAAAAAGCUCAAAACUUGCAUUUCAAUAGUGUAUUGUUGGCAUAUAAACUGAAGCAACGCAAUUGAGUUAACUGAAGCUAAAACUUUUGCAAAAUUCCCUCAACUGUUAAGAAAAACUAUAGUAGCAACAAUCAAUUAAAGAAAUGUGUAAAUCUUCAUUGUUGAGCAAAAAUGAACAAUGUAGGGCUGUGGACAGCAAGUUGAAAUCCUUUACAACGACAGAAAACAAGCAGCAAAUUAUUUUCAAGCAAACAUACAACUUUUGUCAGCAGAUUCUAACCAAUUGGACAAUAAUUUAUGUAACAAGAGAAC
rnacentral:lncRNA from 1 species